rnacentral:rRNA from 1 species
GGUGCAUUAGCUAGUUGGUGAGGUAACGGCUCACCAAAGGCCACGAUGCAUAGCCGACCUGAGAGGGUGAUCGGCCACACUGGGACUGAGACACGGCCCAGACUCCUACGGGAGGCAGCAGUAGGGAAUCUUCCGCAAUGGACGAAAGUCUGACGGAGCAACGCCGCGUGAGUGAUGAAGGCUUUCGGGUCGUAAAACUCUGUUGUUAGGGAAGAACAAGUAUGAGAGUAACUGCUCGUACCUUGACGGUACCUAACCAGAAAGCCACGGCUAACUACGUGCCAGCAGCCGCGGUAAUACGUAGGUGGCAAGCGUUAUCCGGAAUUAUUGGGCGUAAAGCGCGCGCAGGCGGUUUCUUAAGUCUGAUGUG